ensembl:lncRNA
GGUGGAGUGUUGCACGCUGAGGGAAUUGCCCUUAUUAUUUCAACACGAGUGAAGGCAGAAAUUCAUUUUCUGGUGAUGUCCUGAACUCUGCCUCCGGUGUCACCAGCACUCCAGUACUGCCAAAACAAACACAGGCGCCUGACCAAAGAAAGUAAACCAAAGCCCUCCUAGCAGCAUCCACAGGCACACACUCAGCUUCACGCCAGCACCUUCCUGUAGAUCUCGGUAUACUGAUAGCUGAUUUAUUUAGGCAAGAAACACAGAUAAACAGCUAUACAGCAGAGAAGCCAGCUAGCACUGCCACCCAGGGAGCACAAAUGGAGGUGAUGCAGCGCAGACAGCAUUGCUGGCCUUGAUUCCCAAGCAAACACCUGGACAAGCUGCACUGAGGGUGGCAGCAAUAUCUCCGUCCCGUGGUUGGACUGUGGGACAGCAGCUUUUGCACAUGCCCUGCCUGGUGAACAUCCACCUGGGCUCCUGGCAGAUUUGUCAAACAGAGCUAAUUUCUUCCCAAAAUGACUCUAUGGGCAGCAGAGCUGCGCAACAAGAGAUGCUUAUCUGGACUUUGGAAACAUCUUCCUGUGAGGUCAUCAUCUUUUCUCUUUCUUCUUAAAUUUUCCUUCAUGGGGAUGAGGCCACGGCGUGUGCCGCUUGAAACUGCUGACAGAUCCCAGACAGAAGAUGGAAGAAAAGGGCAGAACAGGCAGUGCAGUGGAUUUGCUGGAGCAGGUCUUUUUGAGGAGCCUGGGUGUCCCUCCUCUGCUAUCCUUUCCCAAGAGCCAGGAUAAGAAGCAGUCACGAGCAUAGUGGCAGAGAAGGAAAAAGGGCUGGGGAGGCAGUACGCCUGCAGGGAGUGAUUUCUACCUGUCUCCCGAGAGGGGUGCUCAGGUUUUGGGGCUCAGUGGGAGAACAGCUUUGAGUUUAGCUUCAGACCAAGCCAAGUUUGGUUUUGCAGACACCUUUCACACCUACCGCCUUUUCUGGUAUGCUAGAAGAGAAGUGUGAGUUGGAUGUGGCCCCUUGGUACCAGCAGCCAUACAAACAGCCCCACAGCUGUGGGACUGCCUGCUCUCUUCUCUGCGCCAGCAGUAGGUAUCUCCUGGGCUACCAACACUCUUCCUGCCACAACCUUCCCUCUGGCCUGCCUUGAAAUCAGUGACCCUGCAGCCCUUCCAGCUUUACUUUAAUAUUCAUCUCCCACGGGGCAGUUGCUGAGUGACGAGCACAGUAGGCAGAGGAGGACCAAGCCUCCGUGACUGUGCAGGUGACGGACUUUGAGCCUUCAGAGCUGGGUGCUUGAGGAGCUGCGUUCAGAUAUAAGCACCUCCAAGACUAUGUCUGUCCUGUUCCUUGAGAGGUCUCUUUUCCUUUGCCUAAGGAGAGCAAGGCUGGUGCUGUCUCAGCCCCAACACGAAGGUCCCCGUCUAGGGAUCAGGGACACUCAGUACCUAGCAGUCCCUGGGCACAACAUGCUUGGUCCAGUGAUGCUGCUAUGGCUGACAACUCACCUGGCUGCUCUCCCCAGAAGCAGAGAGGGAGCCUGUCACUGUCACAGCCCCAGCAGUGUAUCUAAGGCAGGGUUUAGCUGCAUGGAGAGGGUCACCUGCUGGGUUGUGUUUCAGCAUCGUGCUACGUUUUGGUCUCUUUUUCCCUUUCUCUGCACCACACUCCUGGUACAAAGGAUUUGACACCAGGUGAUUAUCUGAAACUGGAGACACAAGGUGCUGGUGCAGCUCUGGUUACACAUAUUAUGCCGAAGCCUUCAUUCUUACUAUCAUGAGCAUGUCGCCCCACAGUUUUUCUUUGUUUGUUUGUUUGUUUACAUAAUUAAUGCAGUGAAAUGAAAACACUGUCCAUAUAAUUGUGAGGACGUCAGAUGUUCAAACAUAAUAUACUCCAUUCUAAGGUGACAGAUAUGUGAGGUAGUCUUCGUUUUUAAGUAUUCACGUCUUGAAAAUAAUAUAAUUACACUCAUCUAUUUAGGGUUUCUGUGAUUAUUGGCCAUCACCUCUUCCUGGACCUGAGGCUUCCCUGAGGUCAAAGUAGAAAUAUUCAGCAACAGCCUGAACCACACAGAUGUUGCAUAUCUACUUGACAGUGUUUACUAUUUCCAGGAUUGUUUUAAAUAAAUAAUGCUUUCAAACAGAGCGGGUCGCCUCCAUAAAGAUGGCCUCGUAUAGCAAGAGAAGGAAAGAAGCAGAGAAGAAAGGAAGAGCGAUUAAAUCAGGUCCCAGAGAGAAGCAGAGGAUUGCUGGCUUAGAAGAAAGCUUGCUUCCCAGGUUUGAGUGUUAGCUGAACCACACAGAGGACUGGCUGUGACCAGACAAAAUGGCCUUGCUGAAUUAAGCCAGACAGAAGAAACAAACCCCCUAAAAAAUCAUGUCCCAACAGGUAAAAGGGUAAGAGCUUGGGAUCAUUGGUAAGGAAACAAGAGCUCCAGGAUAACGUAAUCAGGAACAUCCUUCAACCAAUUACAGCACAUGCACUUUAUCUGCAGAUCUUACCCUUGGUGUUAUUCAGCUCAUAUGCUCUCAAUUCACUACAAAAGAGCAAAAAAUGAGCCAUCGGGAUGAUGUGAGAACCCACUCUUUCUGUCCUCAACCCUGGCUGACAGCACAGCUAAUGAUUUAUUUUCAUUUCUAUGUAUUUUAUGUCAAUCUGAUAGAUGUUCCCAGCAAUGUCAGUGGCAAAACAUCAGACAGUAGCAGAGUGCAGAGCUGAGGGUCCCCUCUCAGCAGCAGCCCUAGGGUGGUUGCUGCUGGAAGGGAGGUGCCGAGAACCUGGCCAGAUAUUCAAGCUUUCAUUUGUUUUGCUGCCCCACUUAAUCCUCACAGCGUCCGAAGCCAGAAACGCUUCACUUAGAUUAAUGAGCCAAACUAAAACAAACCCGCAGGCUUCAAGCACGUGAGCUCCUGUUUAACACUGUGAGACCCGCUACUAACAGCAGCUUGGCUGCAGUACAGCUCACUAAGAAAGCUCUUUUUUUCCCCUUUUGGGCUUUUCUCCAGAGAUGAGGGGCUGGUGAGAGGAUCUGAGGACUGAACCCAUUGGGGUUUGUGCUGCUGCUGCCAACUAAAUCCCCAGUGCCAGCUGAGGUGGGCUGCUAGAUCAUAGAAUCAUUAAGGUUGGAAGGACUACUAAGUUCAUCUAGUCCAACCAUCAGCCCAUUCCUGUGACUGCACUAGCGUGCGUCCCUCACUGCCACAUCUGCCCUGUUCUGGAGCACCUCCAGGGAUGGUAACUCCACCACCUCACUGGGCAGCCUAUUCUGUUACCUCAACACUCUUUGUGAGAAGAAAUCUUUUCCUAAUGUCCAACCUGAACCUUCCCUGGUGCAACUUAAGGCCAUUAGAUGCCUACCGUGCAGCCACUCUGAGCAGCUGCUGGAGGAACUCUGGGCAAAAAGUCAUCAAUUCAGACUUAACACUAAGCAAAAAUAUCUCAUUGGUCUCAUGUUGGAGUAGCUCCCACUUUUUUUCUCAUGUUGGUAAAAGAACUUCACUGCUUUAUGCUUAUGGUGUAUGAAGAGGUCCAAAUCUCUCCUUCCUUUGUUUCUCAG